rnacentral:rRNA from 1 species
UACCAGCACCCCGAGUGGUCGGGACGAUUAUUGGGCCUAAAGCAUCCGUAGCCGGUCCUACAAGUCUUCCGUUAAAUCCACCUGCUCAACAGAUGGGCUGCGGAAGAUACUAUGGAGCUAGGAGGCGGGAGAGGCAAGCGGUACUCGAUGGGUAGGGGUAAAAUCCGUUGAUCCAUUGAAGACCACCAGUGGCGAAGGCGGCUUGCCAGAACGCGCUCGACGGUGAGGGAUGAAAGCUGGGGGAGCAAACCGG